rnacentral:tRNA from 1 species
UGCUCCACAGUGUAGUGGUUAGCAUGUCUGCUUUACACGCAGAAGGUCCUGAGUUCAUGGCCCAGGUGGACCAU